rnacentral:misc_RNA from 1 species
UCCGGUUUGUCACCGGCAGUCUCAUUAGAGUGCUCAACUGAAUGUAGCAACUAAUGACAAGGGUUGCGCUCGUUGCGGGACUUAACCCAACAUCUCACGACACGAGCUGACGACAGCCAUGCAGCACCUGUGUUCAGGUUCCCUUUCGGGCACCGCUGCAUUUCUGCAGCGUUCCUGACAUGUCAAGGGUAGGUAAGGUUUUUCGCGUUGCAUCGAAUUAAACCACAUCAUCCACCGCUUGUGCGGGCCCCCGCCGUCAGUUGUACUUUUCUGACGGGACCGCUGGGAUAAACCCAGAGGAAGGUGGGGAUGACGUUACCUU